rnacentral:tRNA from 1 species
CGGAACGUACUCAAGCGGUUAAGAGGCACGUCUGAUACGCGUGUAGUCUGAGGUUCGAUUCCUCACGUUCCGACCA